rnacentral:misc_RNA from 1 species
AACUAACGCUAUUAUUGAUACAGUUUCUGUACUUCAUUGGUAUGAGAAGCUUCCAGGAAUAACCUGUGUAUAAGGUGCAAGCCCUUUGCACUAGGAUAUCUUCUGGCAAAUUUUGGAGGGAGGGUCUUCGGACUCUC